rnacentral:rRNA from 1 species
UACGUAGGGGGCAAGCGUUGUCCGGAAUCAUUGGGCGUAAAGCGCGCGUAGGCGGCCAGAUAAGUCCGGUGUGAAAGUCACAGGCUCAACCUGUGAAUGCCGCUGGAAACUGUCUGGCUUGAGUCCGGAAGGGGCGAGUGGAAUUCCUGGUGUAGCGGUGAAAUGCGCAGAUAUCAGGAGGAACACCAAUGGCGAAGGCAGCUCGCUGGAGCGGUACUGACGCUGAGGCGCGAAAGCGUGGGGAGCGAACAGG